CAUUGGUCAGGAGUUGUUUUUCCACUCAUGAUGAGUCCAAGGCGGGACGAAACCGGUG
rnacentral:sRNA from 1 species